rnacentral:rRNA from 1 species
UGAGUAACACGUAUCCAACCUGCCGUCUACUCUUGGACAGCCUUCUGAAAGGAAGAUUAAUACAAGAUGGCAUCAUGAGUCCGCAUGUUCACAUGAUUAAAGGUAUUCCGGUAGACGAUGGGGAUGCGUUCCAUUAGAUAGUAGGCGGGGUAACGGCCCACCUAGUCUUCGAUGGAUAGGGGUUCUGAGAGGAAGGUCCCUCACAUUGGAACUGAGACACGGUCCAA